rnacentral:rRNA from 1 species
CAGGCCUAACACAUGCAAGUCGAACGAAGGCUUCGGCCUUAGUGGCGCACGGGUGCGUAACGCGUGGGAAUCUGCCCUUGGGUUCGGAAUAACAGUUAGAAAUGACUGCUAAUACCGGAUGAUGACGUAAGUCCAAAGAUUUAUCGCCCAAGGAUGAGCCCGCGUAGGAUUAGCUAGUUGGUGAGGUAAAGGCUCACCAAGGCGACGAUCAGUAGCUGGUCUGAGAGGAUGAUCAGCCACACUGGGACUGAGACACGGCCCAGACUCCUACGGGAGGCAGCAGUGGGGAAUAUUGGACAAUGGGCGAAAGCCUGAUCCAGCAAUGCCGCGUGAGUGAUGAAGGCCUUAGGGUUGUAAAGCUCUUUUACCCGGGAUGAUAAUGACAGUACCGGGAGAAUAAGCCCCGGCUAACUCCGUG